UUAUUAUUAUUAUUAAUGUUAGUAGUACUAGUAGCAGAAGUAUCAGCAGUAGCAGUAGUAGUUGUUGUUGCUGUUGCUGUUGUGUACCGCAGGACUGCUGCCAGUGUCUUCUGUUGCUGUUCUUGUGGCGCAGCGUGGCUUGGGCUCCUCUACCUGCGUCCUUCCCGUCAAUUCCACGUGGAUUCGGAAGCAGCAGAGAUCAGAAGGUGGAGGGAAAGGACAAGUAGAGAUUAGGAUGAGGAAAGAUGAGAUACGGAAAGACGUGUGAGAAUUAGAGGGGUUGACGCCGGCCAUACCAUAACACAAACAGAAAAAGGAGGGGAGGAAAGGUGUUCACGUAGAUGCUUCCCAGGAGGCAGAAACACAUGUCAGCUGGACUCGUUCAUAUGGGAGAAAGAUCAGGUGUCAUUUCCUGGCAGACUCAAGACACCUUGCGAUAUGCGGGUUGACCCCUCAGUAUGGCCUCUCAUCCUAGAACAAAACUAGUGGGAAGGCCAAAAACUUAUCACACCCACACAUAACGUGAUGCUAAAAUCACCAAUAACUUCCACGAAAGCCUAUUAAAAGUAGUAGAUACAGCGCCAAAACGUUUGAUAAUAGAGACUGUUGUUUUUUGCUCCCACUUCCGUCUUCUGGGAGGAAGUAGUAGAUACCUAUCAAAAUGGUAAUUACUCUCAGGAAGGUUUCAUACACACUAACAUGGGUGGAUUCUGUGAACUUGCCUACGACCCAGCUGUGGCCUUCCUGGUGUCUGGUUCCUGGUGUUCGAGGCUACGUUGCGCCCAGUUCAGCUUGGAUUUUUUUUUUUUUUAUGAUGUUUUGAUAUUCUUGAAAACCCUUAGACAAUAUAUUUCUUUAUCAUUCUUUUGUCUCAUUUCUUUUCAAUUUUGCAUAUAUUUUGCCAUUUUUCAUUCUCUCUUUCUCUGUGAUUAGAGAGAGAGAGAGAGAGAGAGAGAGAGAGAGAGAGAGAGAGAGAGAGAGAGAGAGAGAGAGAGAGAGAGAGAGAGAGAGAGAAUUGAUAUCAUAUAUUUUUACUUCGUGUCAAAAUUUCAUUCAGUUCGUACUUGAAUCGUGCUAACCACUAUAAGGAUUUUCACUAACAAUGGAAUUGGAAAUCACAUCGAAAUAACAAUGGAGGCUACUUAUUUAUAAUUCAAGUGAUAAUUCAGCAAGUAUUCUGUAUCACUGAUAAAUAAAGAAAUAAAAAAAAUGAGAACCUGA